GAGAGCCGGAUGCGGGGAAAGCCGCGCGUCCGGUUCGAGCGGGCGGCCUUGAGGGCUGCUGCAGGAUCUGACCAAGCAGAU
rnacentral:autocatalytically_spliced_intron from 1 species